AACGAACGCUGGCGGCAGGCCUAACACAUGCAAGUCGAGCGAACCGCAAGGUUAGCGGCGGACGGGUUAGUAACGCGUGGGAACGUGCCCAAAGGUACGGAAUAGCCUCGGGAAACUGAGAGUAAUACCGUAUGUGCCCGAAAGGGGAAAGAUUUAUCGCCUUUGGAUCGGCCCGCGUUGGAUUAGGUAGUUGGUGGGGUAACGGCCUACCAAGCCGACGAUCCAUAGCUGGUUUGAGAGGAUGAUCAGCAACACUGGGACUGAGACACGGCCCAGACUCCUACGGGAGGCAGCAGUGGGGAAUCUUAGACAAUGGGGGAAACCCUGAUCUAGCCAUGCCGCGUGAGCGAUGAAGGCCUUAGGAUUGUAAAAUUCUUUCACCGGGGACGAUAAUGACGGUACCCGGAGAAGAAGCCCCGGCUAACUUCGUGCCAGCAGCCGCAGUAACAC
rnacentral:rRNA from 1 species